rnacentral:rRNA from 1 species
UACGUAGGGUGCGAGCGUUGUCCGGAAUUACUGGGCGUAAAGAGCUCGUAGGCGGUGUGUCGCGUCGGCCGUGAAAACCUGCAGCUUAACUGUGGGCUUGCGGUCGAUACGGGCAUCACUGGAGUUCGGCAGGGGAGACUGGAAUUCCUGGUGUAGCGGUGAAAUGCGCAGAGUAUCAGGAGGAACACCGGUGGCGAAGGCGGGUCUC